UACAUCCCCAUGCCAUCGAGAAAUAGACUAUUGCCAGAGUUUCUGAUUGACUUUUUAAAGCAGCAAGCAGCAUGUCUGCGCAACCCAUGAUUUAUCCCUAACGUUGAUCAUUGAUUUGUUGAAUUUUAAGGUUCAACAAUGGAAGAAGCAACGGUCGAGAGUUUGGCAGAAGUUUUUAGAUGCUUCAUCUGCAUGGAAAAGCUCCGAGAUGCCCGCCUCUGUCCCCACUGCUCUAAACUCUGCUGUUUCCUCUGCAUAAGGAGGUGGCUUACUGAACAGAGAAACCAAUGUCCCCAUUGCCGAGCUCCUUUACAACUUCACGAUUUGGUCAACUGUCGAUGGGCAGAAGAGGUGACUAACCAACUAGACACACUACAAUUGUGCACCCCACACACAAGACCUGAUGAACAAGAUAGAGAUAAAUGUGAAGCACAUCAUGAGAAAUUGAGUGUGUACUGCUGGACAUGCCACAAGUGUAUAUGUCAUCAAUGUGCUCUCUGGGGUGGAGCGCAACAUACAGGUCACACAUUCAAACCCCUAGAUGAGGUAUAUGAUCAACAUGUCUCUCAAAUCUCAGAGGAGGUUGCAGCAUUGAGAAGACGCCUUAUGGAGCUGAUCAGUCUUGUCCAAGAAGUAGAGCGCAAUGUUGAAAGUGUUCGCAAUGCCAAGGAUGAACGUGUCCGUGAAAUCCGUAAUGCUGUCGAAAUGAUGAUAGCCAGAUUGGAAUCACAACUUAAAAUGAAACUGCUGACUCUCAUGGGUCAGAAAAAUUCACUCACUCACGAGACAGAGCUGUUGGAGUCUCUCCUGCAGGAAGUAGAACACCAAUUACGAUCAUGCACGAAGAGUGAAUUAAUUGCCAAGAGUGCUGAGCUCUUACAGAUGUUUACCCAAGUUCAUCGCAAGCCAAUGGCAUCUUUUGUAACAGCACCCGUCCCUGCUGAUUUCAUGAGUGAAUUGGUACCAACAUAUGAUAGCAGCAGAUUUGUCCUUAAUGGUUUCACAGCAUUGCAGCAUAAAGCAGAUCCAGUGUACAGUCCACCGCUGACCACAUCAGGUCUGAACUGGAGACUGAAAGUAUAUCCAGAUGGAAAUGGUGUGGUCAGAGGCAAUUACCUGUCUGUGUUUCUAGAGUUAUCGGCUGGUCUGCCUGAAACUUCCAAAUAUGAGUACAGAGUGGAAAUGAUUCAUCAGGCAACUCAUGACAAUAGCAAGAAUAUUGUGAGAGAAUUUGCUUCUGAUUUUGAGGUUGGAGAAUGCUGGGGGUACAAUCGCUUCUUCAGACUUGACUUGCUGGCAACUGAGGGAUACCUCAAGGAUAACACCUUAAUCUUACAGUUUCAGGUAAGAGCGCCAACAUUUUAUCAGAAAUGUCGAGACCAGCAGUGGCACAUCAAUCAUCUAGAAGCAGCACAACGACUGUAUGUCACCCAGGUGAAUGACCUGAAAGAGAGACUAGCCAUUGAGUUAUCCCGACAUCAAUCAGACAGUGGGAAAUCACCAGAUCAUGAUAGACGGAACAGCCACUCAGAGCAGUCACGUAGCAGAUUUAGAUCAGUCCGUGCAACUGUUGCCAUAGCAACUGACAAAGAGUCUCCAAACAGGAAGAAUGAGAAAACUGUGUCAGAACAUGAUGAAGAUGCACAGUUGUCUGAAUGUGAGAUCAGUAUUUGUGGGUCCUCUUCAACAUCCUUGGAUGACGGAGCUAAUUCUGAUGCUGAAAAUAGCUUGGAAGAAAAUGAUAUUGAUGAAGAGACAAUGUCCCUAGAAAACGAUGUAGACCACAGCAGAUUGAUAGACUCCAGAACCCAGGUAGAGUGUCUGGUUGGCCAGGGAGCUCAAGGAGGCUCAGAUGCUAGCAUAAGCCUUGGACAUCUUGAGGGUCAGCAAGGGGAAGAGAUCUUACAGACAUUGAGGAAUGAAGAAGCCAUGCUUUUACAAUUGCUGGACUUAAAGGACAGACCAAUUGGAGCAGGAGAUAGCUUGUGGGGGUUUCUGCCAAGACCACCAUACAAGAUUCGCCAUACAAAUGCUCCAAGGAAGAGUAAAGAAAAAAAGGAGAAACAUCAUCACUCUACCCCUUCCACUCAUGAAUCUCUUAUGAAGAAGAUGCAGUCUUGUAUGUCUGACAUUAGUCUACGUAGCCACUGUGCAACUACAAGUGUGGUGCCAAUACUAGAUGGUGCAGAGUGCUCUGAGCAAGCAAGCGGUCUUGGGUCAUCAACUAAAAUAGAUGCAGCACAGUCAAUACUACGGAAGCCGUCAUGUAGCAGCAAGCACAGUCAGCAUGCAGUUCCCAGCAUAUCAUUGCAAUUGGCACAAGAAUGUGAUGCAUCAGGCAAAGCCCAAGAGGAUGAUACAGGAGAAUGUGGGGCAAGUACCAAAAAUGUGGACAAGCAUUGCAAUGAAGGCAAUCUAGAAGGCUACUAUGUUCCACUAAGUGAUAGAGAAGGUACUGCUGCGGAAGCCUUGCCAGUGUUGUCAAGUGCAGCAAGACUCAACGCUGGAAUUGAAUUUCAAGAGUACGGAGAAUCAGCAAGUCCCCAAACUGCCAGUCUCAUGCCUCUCUGCCGGGGAAAUUGUGAACAUAGCUGACGGCAAAGACACAAUAGAGUCCCUAAUGCAUAAAGAUGAUCAACAGAGAACGUUGAGAACGACAAGGAAAAAAAUGUGCUUGGGAAGAUUGAACACUACAGGAGAAGGCACUUCAAGCAACAGUUCUGAAGGCUAUAGUUUUUCUGAAAACACAGAUGUGCAGGAGCCGCAGCAAAGUGGUUGAAUAGUCAUUCUGAAGUGCUACAGUGUUAACAGGUGUUUUUGUUGCUGUUCUUUUAUAAAUUAUGUAUAAUUUGCAUUAUGUGUUCAUUUCAGAAAAACGGUUUAAGCCCUAGUUGGACAGAAACCACAAGGCUGAAUAAUAAAACUUUCCAGUUAAAAUACAAAUGUAGAGAGAUAUGUAUUCUUCUUAGAAAACAAAUUCUUAAAGGAAACAUGCAGUAGAAAUUCAGCUCAUCGAUGAGCGAUGUCAGGAAUUGAUUAUCUGGAAACAGAUGGGGUCAGUGGGCAUAAAGUACAAUAAUAUGCAGAUGCGCAAAAAGUGCUAAGUACAGCGAAUGCACUUGUCUUCUCAAGGAAAGGAAGGCGUGCUUGUGACGCGUGGCACUGGAGCCGUACUUGACGGGGCCGUGGAGGUGCAGAGCCGCAGAGUCAGGGAGCCGCAGAGUCGCGCGUCGGUAAUAUGAUAAUAAUCAUCAGGGCACUUAUAUAGCGUUCUUACACAAACUGGUAUCACAACGCUUUACACAAGAAAACAAUUAAAGUGUAUAAUACAAAAUGAUGAAAGGAAAUAAUAACAACCUAUAGGGCAAUUAAGUCUGGAAGAGAUGUGUUUUCAGCAAUGUUUUGAAAUCAGUGAGGGAAGUGGCAUGACAGAUUUCAUAAGGAAGAUUAUUCCAGAGGUUUGGAGCAGCUGCAUAAAAACCUUUUUCUGAGAUUGAAGAACGAGUUUUGGGUUUAAUGAGGAUUCUGGUAUCGGAACUGGAACGCAGGGU
rnacentral:misc_RNA from 1 species